rnacentral:rRNA from 1 species
AGUCGAACGCUGAAGCCUGGUGCUUGCACCGGGUGGAUGAGUGGCGAACGGGUGAGUAACACGUGAGUAACCUGCCCCUGACUUCGGGAUAAGCCCGGGAAACUGGGUCUAAUACCGGAUACGACUGCCGGACGCAUGUCUGGUGGUGGAAAGUUUUUUCGGUUGGGGAUGGGCUCGCGGCCUAUCAGUUUGUUGGUGAGGUAAUGGCUCACCAAGACGACGACGGGUAGCCGGCCUGAGAGGGCGACCGGCCACACUGGGACUGAGACACGGCCCAGACUCCUACGGGAGGCAGCAGUGGGGAAUAUUGCACAAUGGGGGAAACCCUGAUGCAGCGACGCAGCGUGCGGGAUGACGGCCUUCGGGUUGUAAACCGCUUUCAGCAGGGAAGAAGCGCAAGUGACGGUACCUGCAGAAGAAGUACCGGCUAACUACGUGCCAGCAGCCGCGGUAAUACGUAGGGUACGAGCGUUGUCCGGAAUUAUUGGGCGUAAAGAGCUCGUAGGUGGUUGGUCACGUCUGCUGUGGAAACGCAACGCUUAACGUUGCGCGUGCAGUGGGUACGGGCUGACUAGAGUGCAGUAGGGGAGUCUGGAAUUCCUGGUGUAGCGGUGAAAUGCGCAGAUAUCAGGAGGAACACCGGUGGCGAAGGCGGGACUCUGGGCUGUAACUGACACUGAGGAGCGAAAGCAUGGGGAGCGAACAGGAUUAGAUACCCUGGUAGUCCAUGCCGUAAACGUUGGGCACUAGGUGUGGGGGGCAUUCCACGUUCUCCGCGCCGUAGCUAACGCAUUAAGUGCCCCGCCUGGGGAGUACGGUCGCAAGGCUAAAACUCAAAGGAAUUGACGGGGGCCCGCACAAGCGGCGGAGCAUGCGGAUUAAUUCGAUGCAACGCGAAGAACCUUACCAAGGCUUGACAUACACCGGACCGUCCUGGAAACAGGUCUUCUUCUUUGAAGCU